CAUCCGCACAUAACAAAUUCAAUAGCGGAAGGGGCGGAUGAAGAGAGGAUAUGCUAAGCAUAGGGUUUCGAUUAUGGGCUUUACAGGCCCAGUCGGCAACCGCAUUUGCUUCCCUAGGGCAAAAACCAAGCGAAAGGUUGGGGAAGAGAGAGAGUAGAAAGGCUGCCUCCGAGAAGAGAGGACGAUCCGGCCAUGGCGGCUGUGCCCGUCGAUUCAUCACUUCGACCAGAGAGAGGUUGUCCGAAUGUACGACAAGGGAGGCGUUCUGAAACCCCUGAUCCAGCAGAUGACGAAGGGCUAAAGAAAGGGCUUGGAUCUCCACCUGCAGAGCGGAAGAAGCUUCAACCCUUGCUGAGAAGAUAUCGUGUACCAGGAUCCGGGGGACGCCAUAAAUGCCCCAUCUGAGAGACGGAGGACUUCUGGUGUGCAGAGGAUGGCGAAGACAGUCGAUCUACUUGGGAAUUUGUUAAAGCGGCUUCUACAACAACAGUCGGAUGAGGAAAUUUACCCCGGAAGAGGAAACCAUUUCGGCCCUUCCAGAUCUGCCACAGCACAUUUGCGAUCAGCGCAAGUCGAGGUAGUACCUCGUUGCUAUGGCGUCAUUACAAAGGGACCAGAGGAAGAUACGAACUUUAGGGGCAGCAGGCAUAGUCCAAAGAGUUCGCCAGAACCAGGUAGGGGUUCUGUAUGAAGUAGAAGCACCAUCUAUCGAUCCAUUGAGGUUAGUCUGAGUAAUUGCAUGGUAUGCCGACUUUACAGUAUAAGUACCCUGCUUUGUGGCUGUCCAAAUGAGUGCAUCUUUUGUGCAAAUUGGUCGAAUCUGAAUGUUUGUGAUUUCCUGGAUAAUUGGCAAGUCGAAAAAAGUAUGUAGUAGGUCUGUUUUCCAAGAACCAGUAGACUGAUCAAUAAGAUCAGCUACUAGAAGGGGUUCUGCUUGGGCUUUUGGUCCACCUAGAACACCCAUGGGUAACCAUCUGUCUGUUCUGAUGUUAAUGCAUUGCCCAUCUCCUACUGACCAACGGAUGUUCGGUAGGAUAGCUGCUCGUCCACACAAGAGGCUCUGCCAGCCCCAUGAUGGGCGAGAGCCUUUGGUAGCUUUAAGAAAAGUGGAUGAAUGAAAAUAGAGUCCUUUAAAAAACUUAGCCCAUAAUGAGGAUGGUUGAUGAAUAAAACGCCACGCUUGCUUACCAAGCAUGGCUUCAUUGAAACUGAUUAAUUUUCUGAAACCCAAACCUCCUACCUCUUUUCGAUGUUGCAGUUUAUUCCAACUUUGCCAAUGAAUUCCAACUUUGCUUGUAUCAUUGUUCCACCAAAAAUUAGCCAUACGCUGUUCGAUAAGUUUACAUAAAGACUUAGGAAUCUUAAAAACAGACAUGGCAUACUGGGGGAUAGAUUGAAUCACUGUUUUAAGCAGAACUUCCUUCCCUCCUUUAGAGAUAAGCUUCUCCUUCCACCCCUGUAGUUUCAACUGAAUUCUAGUCAGGAUCCAAGAAAACAUAUCCCGCUUAGAUCUGCCCCAAUCAGUAGGUAUCCCUAGGUAUUUCCCACAUCUCUGUAAAAUAGGAACCCUUAAUUCACUUGCCAAGUUGUUUUGAAGAGACAUGGGGCAAGAAGGACUGAAGAAAAUGCCCGAUUUGUUUCGGUUUAUAGCCUGUCCAGUUGCCAAACUAUACUGAUUUAGGAUGUUAGAUAGAUUCUGGCACUCCAUCAGGGAUCCAGUGAGGAAAAAUACAGCAUCAUCAGCAAAUAACAAAUGAGAUAAAGUGGGACACCACUGAUUCAAUUUAAUACCUUUGAGCAAACCCAUAUCGAGAGCAUUCUUAAUGAGGAGUGAGAGGAGAUUAGCAACAAUAAUGAAUAAAUAGGGGGAUAGAGGAUCACCCUGCCGAAGCCCUCUAGUCGGAUGAAAACUCGGAAGAUAAUCACCAUUCAUUUUAACGCACAAAGUUGUAGUUGAGAUGCACUGCAUGACUAGCUGUACCCAAUGAGGCUGAAAACCUAAACAAAGUAGGUAAUCCUGAAGAAAAUCCCAUUCAAUACGAUCAUAGGCUUUCUGCAUAUCAACUUUUAGAACUGCUUGAAAAUGAUGCUUUCGUUUCCUAGUUCUAAGCUGGUGAAUCACUUCCUGAACCAUAAGAACAUUAUCCUGAAUCUGUCGUCCAGCAACAAAUGCACUCUGUUCCUCAGAAAUUAAAACAGGCAGUAAAGGUUUUAACCUGUUAGCAAGUACUUUAGAGAAAAUUUUAUAAGCAUAGUUGCACAAGCUAAUAGGUCUAUAUUGAUCCAAGCACUCUGGGUUUGGGGUUUUGGGAAUCAAUGUUAUGGCAGUUCGAUUUAAAGCCACCGGUAAAGAUCCCGAACUGAAAAAAUUCUGCACUGCCCGAUAGAUAUCUUCCUUUAUUACCUCCCAAUGAGAUUGGUAAAACAUACCAGUUAAACCAUCAGGGCCUGGGGCUUUUGAAGCACCCAAUUGAAAGGUGGCUGCUUUAACCUCUUCCAUUGUAACCUGAGCUAGAAGCGUGUCGUUCAUUUCUGUGGUAACCAUUUGGGGGCAUUGUUGAAGAAUUCGUUGAUAACAUCUAGGGCCAGAGGUUGUAUAGAGGAGAGAAAAAUGAUCUGUGGUCAUUUGUUGGAGCUGGUGAGGGUCUCGAAUCCACUGUUGGUGAUUAUCUCGUAAGACUGAAAUAUGAUUGCGUUGUCUUCUUUGGAGAGUCGUGGCAUGAAAGAAAUGAGUAUUACGAUCACCCCACCUUAACCAAUUUAUCCUAGAGCGCAUUGCCCAAUAUUGUUCUUCCCUCUGCCAUGCUUUAUGGAGUUCUGUUUUUACAAAUUGUUGCUGUGCUUUAUUAAGUGAGGUAGGAUACUGAUUUGUCAGCAAUUCUAACUGGUGCUCCAACUGUGAUGCCUGAUGCCUAUUAUGAGAAAACCUCGAACGACUCCAAAUGGACAAGUCCAUAGCAACUGCACGAAGUUUGUCGGAGAGCGGGGAGUCUUUUCUUGAGACAGAGUUCCAAGAGGAUUGAAUAGCUGCACGACACUGAGGAUCCUGAUUCCAGAAGAUCUCAAAGGGAGUGCAAGUACCUGAGCAUGUGGAAACAAAACGCGCCAGUCCGCAUUACACACGGCUCUAUCAAGACGUUCCUUGACCAAGGCAUCUCCUUCUCGAUGAUUUGACCAAGUGAAGGCGCAGCCAUGAGAAGGAAGAUCAAGUAGACUACAAUCAUUAAGAAAAUCUUGAAAAGAAGUCAUGCGGUAAAAAUCAGCAGGUCGAGCACCAAUUUUCUCCCAGCGAUGAAGAAUUUCAUUGAAAUCACCAAGGCAGACCCAAGGAGCAUGAAUACAAGUAAUCCGCAUUGACCUGGCCUCCGAAAUAUCUUUGCAGAUGAAGUCAAAAAAAUACCGAGAGGAAGUAAAGUCAGACAACUGAAAGCCCUCGUUCCAAAAAAGAGCCAAGCCACCCGCAGAGCCUAACGGGCUGAAAACUCGAAGAUGCAAAAACCGCAAGAUGGCUGUUGUGGGCCAGCCACCGACGCCCUUAUGUUGUCCUCAGUCGCCAUGAUAAUUGGAGUAUCCAAUAAGAGUGACUCAUCAAGACCUCCCAGGUGCUCAGUAGGGGAGGCAAUGUCUGCAUCUGCACUCCUUUAAGCUUUGCAUCUGCUGGAAUUAGGGCAGUAGAAAUACUAUGAUGGGUGAGGGUAGCAGAGUUCACUAUCUCAGAACCAGCCUUGGACAAUGCAGAAUGCAUUUGCUGCGCAGGAAGAGGUGCCUGGGGGAGAGGUGGUGGUAAAAGAGGGAGUGGUUGAGCAUUGGACGGAGGUGUCUCAGGGACCAUAAGGUGUUUUCUCCGAGUCCGUUAUCAUAGUUUCCUCAAAAAGGAUAGACGGACAAGCAUCAGUGUAAUGACCCAAUCGACCACAGGAGUAACAGUAGUGAGGUUCAGAUAACGGCAGUUCAAUCCGUGCUCGACCAGCUCGGAGGGUGGAUCCAGGAACAAAAUCAGAUUUUAUUUGCAAAACAGGGCCAACGGUACUUACUGCUUUACGAAUCAUAUCAUCGGUACAGCAUUCAAGAGGUAGGCCAAUAACCUGAACCCAGAACGCACAGGUAGAAAAGUCAUAACAGUGCAGAGGUGUGUCGGCGACCCAAGGUUUGAAAUUAAUGAGGUGGCCCGAAAAUUGCCAAGGAGUUCAACCUUCUCUGACUUCCAUGCCCUCUUCAAAACCGAUUGGAAAGCUUGGAAAUUAAAGGAAGGAUUCGAGGAAAUCUUACCUAUUAAAGUCAACUUACAUUCCUCAACUGCUUCAGG